rnacentral:tRNA from 1 species
AAAGAAUUAGUUAAACCCGAUAACAUAAAUAUGUCAAAUUUAAGUUAUUAUUUUAUAAAAUAAUAUUCUUUU